rnacentral:rRNA from 1 species
GACGAACGCUGGCGGCGUGCUUAACACAUGCAAGUCGAGCGGUAAGGCCCUUUCGGGGGUACACGAGCGGCGAACGGGUGAGUAACACGUGGGUGACCUGCCCUCAGCUCUGGGAUAAGCCUGGGAAACCGGGUCUAAUACCGGAUAUGACUCCAUGACGCAUGUUGUGGGGUGGAAAGCCUUGUGCGGCUGAGGAUGGGCCCGCGGCCUAUCAGCUUGUUGGUGGGGUGAUAGCCUACCAAGGCGACGACGGGUAGCCGGCCUGAGAGGGCGACCGGCCACACUGGGACUGAGACACGGCCCAGACUCCUACGGGAGGCAGCAGUGGGGAAUCUUGCGCAAUGGGCGAAAGCCUGACGCAGCGACGCCGCGUGAGGGAUGACGGCCU